rnacentral:rRNA from 1 species
AGACGGAGGGAGCAAGCGUUGUUCGGAUUUACUGGGCGUAAAGGGCGUCUAGGCGGGUUGGUCAGUCAGGUGUGAAACCCCCCGGCUCAACCGGGGAUCUGCACUUGAUACUGCCAAUCUUGAGUAUGGAAGAGGAAAGCGGAAUUCCAGGUGUAGCGGUGAAAUGCGUAGAUAUCUGGAAGAACACCGGUGGCGAAGGCGGCUUUCUGGUCCAAUACUGACGCUAAAGCGCGAAGAUGUGGGGAGC